rnacentral:rRNA from 1 species
UCCCGCGUAAUUUAAGCAUAUCAUUAAGCGGAGGAAAAGAAACUAACUAGGAUUCCCUUAGUAGCGGCGAGCGAAACGGGAAGAGCCCAGCACUGAAUCCUGACGUGCGAGAGCACGGUGGAAAUGUAGUGUGUGGGAGGAUCUGUAUAAGCCGGCGGGGACCUCGUCAAAGUCCGUCUUGAAAGCGGCCACAGCCCAUAGAGGGUGCCAGGCCCGUGUGACGAUGUGGAUCCCGCCGGCAUGGGUCUCUCCCCGGAGUCGAGUUGCUUGAGAGUGCAGCUCUAAGCGGGAGGUAAACUCCUUCUAAGGCUAAAUAUGACCACAAGACCGAUAGCGAACAAGUACCGUGAGGGAAAGUUGAAAAGCACUUUGAAGAGAGAGUUCAAGAGUACGUGAAACCGUUCAGGGGUAAACGAAUGAUAUCUGGAAAAGCGAAGCGAGAGAUUCAAACUGCGCGUCGCGCGUCCACGCGCGGCGGCCGCCGAUCACCUGAGUGCCCCCGCGCGUAGCAGCAAUGCUCGCCGGUACGGCUACACAGCGUGCACGGUCGGUCGUCCCUGGCGCCGGCGUCGGUCUGCACUUUUCUCGUGGUAGUACGCCGCGACUCGUUGGGUGCGCGUCUAAGGCCCACGCGGGAGCCGGCACUAGUGCGCGUCAAACGUUCACACGGAGCCGACCGCGAGGUGUCCCGACGCGCUCGCCCGACGGUGGAUAAGCGAUACGAUAAAAGUCGGGUGUCUCGGCACCCGAUGGCCUUAGUUGGCACGUCUUCGCGUCAGCGGUGCUCCAUUCAGAGCCCAUUCGACCCGUCUUGAAACACGGACCAAGGAGUCUAACAUGUACGCGAGUCAUUGGGAACCACUAAACCUAAAGGCGAAAUGAAGGUAAAUGCCGGUCCGCCUCGGCGGCCGGCAUAGGAGUGAUGCCGCGCCUUUGAAUUGAAUUUCUUUACACAAGCCGGCCGCAACUCCGGGGCGUCUCGUUGUCAUUGCGACGCAGUAGGCGCACCUAAAGCGUACACGUUGGGACCCGAAAGAUGGUGAACUAUGCCUGGCCAGGUCGAAGUCAGGGGAAACCCUGAUGGAGGACCGCAGCGAUUCUGACGUGCAAAUCGAUCGUCAGAGCUGGGUAUAGGGGCGAAAGACUAAUCGAACCAUCUAGUAGCUGGUUCCCUCCGAAGUUUCCCUCAGGAUAGCUGGUGCCCGACGUAUAUCCAGCGCGAAGUUGCCGCUCUCAUGCGGCUUCGCAGCCAGUCUCAUCUGGUAAAGCGAAUGAUUAGAGGCCUUGGGGUCGAAACGACCUCAACCUAUUCUCAAACUUUAAAUGGGUGAGAUCAUCGACUUGCUUAAGUGCGUCAGUCGUUGAAGUCGAUCCCGCGGGAUGAACGGGCACCUAGUGGGCCAAUUUUGGUAAGCAGAACUGGUGCUGUGGGAUGAACCAAACGUCGAGUUAAGGCGCCUAAAUCGAUGCUCAUGGGAUACCAUGAAAGGCGUUGGUUGCUUAAGACAGCAGGACGGUGGCCAUGGAAGUCGGAAUCCGCUAAGGAGUGUGUAACAACUCACCUGCCGAAGCAACUAGCCCUGAAAAUGGAUGGCGCUCAAGCAUCGUGCCUAUACUCGACCGUCACAGGCGAUGAGAGCGCCGCUUGUCGGCCACCUACGUAUGCCGUGACGAGUAGGAGGGCGCGGCGGUGAGCGCAGAAGUGCUGGCCGUGAGGCCGCAUGGAGCCGCCGUCGGUGCAGAUCUUGGUGGUAGUAGCAAAUACACUAGCGAGGUCCUGGUGGUCUGAGGUGGAGAAGGGUUUCGUGUGAACAGUUGUUGCACACGAGUCAGUCGAUCCUAAGCCCCAGGAGAAAUCCUUGUUGAUACGCAGUCGAAUAGUUUGUCGUAUGAAGGCUAGCGAAGGCAAAGCAGCUUGCACGCACUAGCAAACUGACCGUAUCGGGCGAAAGGGAGUACGGUUCCCAUUCCGUAACCCGGCAGCGGAACCGAUGCGCGGGCCACUGCAGCAAUGCAGACUCGUCGGGGUGACCCAAAAAGACCCGGAGACAUCGUCGGAUGAUCGCGGCAGAGUUAUCUGUUCUGUAUAAGCGUCCAUGUUCCCUGGAAUCGCCUAGCGCGGAGAGAGGGUUUGGCUCGCGAAGAGCAUCGCACUUGCGGCGAUGUCACGAUCAUUCCGUCGAGCCUUGAAAAUCCGGGUGAGGGCCACGUGGAGGUGUCGCGCCGGAUCGUACCCAUUUCCGCAGCAGGUCUCCAAGGUCCGGAGCCUCUAGUCGAUGGAAGAAUGUAGGUAAGGGAAGUCA